UACGGAGGGUGCAAGCGUUGUCCGGAAUCACUGGGCGUAAAGGGCGCGUAGGCGGCCCGGUAAGGUUGCGGUGAAAUCCCCGGGCUCAACCUGGGAAUGGCAUUUGGGACUGCAAGGCUGGAGUGCGGCAGAGGAGACUGGAAUUCCUGGUGUAGCAGUGAAAUGCGUAGAUAUCAGGAGGAAUACCGAUGGCGAAGGCAGGUCUCUGGGCUGACACUGACGCUCAUGCACGAAAGCGUGGGGAGCAAACAGG
rnacentral:rRNA from 1 species